rnacentral:misc_RNA from 1 species
GAAAUGCGAUAAGUAAUGUGAAUUGCAGAAUUCAGUGAAUCAUCGAAUCUUUGAACGCACAUUGCGCCCGCCAGUAUUCUGGCGGGCAUGCCUGUUCGAGCGUCUUUUCAACCCUCGGGCCCUAGGGAUUCGUCCCCUGCGGCCCGGCGUUGGGGCCCCGCGGCCGCCGCGGUCCCCUAAAUACAGCGGCGGGCUUCCGUGCUGCCUUGGCGUAGUAGAUACUAUCUCGCCUGCGGCGGUGCGUGAGACCCUGCCUCCAAAACCCACCAGAAAAGUUGGACCUCGAAUCAGGUAGGAAUACCCGCUGAACUUAA